GGCAGAGUGGCUUAGUGGAAAAAUCAUGGGACUGAGAGCCAGGGGACAUGGGUUUUAAUCCCAACUCUGCCA
rnacentral:tRNA from 1 species